UCAGAGGAGCGGGAUUUAAGAGUAAGCUGCCGGAGGUUUCCCAAAGCCGUUGAAUGCAGCCCAAAGGGAAAACCGCCGAAGGGGAUAAAUGGGAAAUUAUCCGCCUGGCCCUGGGUUUAAAAAACACUGGGUUGUCAUCAUGUGAUGGAGAACUG
rnacentral:ncRNA from 1 species